rnacentral:SRP_RNA from 1 species
GCCAAGUAUGGCAACUCAUGCUGUAAUCUUAGCUACUGGGCAUAUUGAGGCUGGUGUAUACCUUGAGCCUCUGGAGUUUUGAGCUGCAGUGGGCUAUGUCAAUUGGGUAUUUACACUAAAUUCAAUUGCAAUAUGGUGAGCCCCUGGGACUAUAGGGUAAACUGGUUGCCUAAGGAGGGGUGAAUUGAACCCAGAUCAGAAAUAGAGCAGGUCAAAGCUUCCAAUCAGUAGUAAGAUUGGGCCCAUAAAUAAUUCCUGUACUUCCAGCCUGGGCAAGAUAGGGAAACCCAAUCUCU